UGUGUGUCUGAUGACAGUGACUCACAUGAAAAUUCAACUCUGGUGAAGGAGCUUGACAGGCUGCGUAAAAAAAGGAAGAAAUGGCACCAUAAUAUCUUUCACAGCGAAAUCACUCAUGAAAAGGUUGAUCGCUUAGGCCGUAUUGAAGGAACCAUUGAGAGGCUGGAAAAGCUGAUCUUGGCUAAAGGAGGAAAACUACCGCCGCGCAAGACCUAGCAGUGCCACUUUAGGUUCCGUUGCCUUGCAGACCAAUGGUGCAAAACCAGAAAGCAAGUGCACUUCAUGGAAGGCUCGAGAUUUGAGUCACUUUAUUCUUUUUGCUAUGUAAAACUUCUGCAAUAAUUGUGAAAACGUGUUUUGUUUGUUAG
rnacentral:lncRNA from 1 species